UGGGGAAUAUUGCACAAUGGGCGAAAGCCUGAUGCAGCAACGCCGCGUGAGGGAAGACGGUCUUCGGAUUGUAAACCUUUAACUUUGGAGAAGAAACAAAUGACGGUAACCAAAGGAGCAGCCACGGCUAACUACGUGCCAGCAGCCGCGGUAAUACGUAGGAGGCAAGCGUUGUCCGGAAUUACUGGGUGGAAAGGGAGCGCAGGCGGGGAGGCAAGUUAGCUGUGAAAUGUAUGGGCUUAACCCAUGAAUUGCAGUUGAAACUGUCUUUCUUGAGUGGAGUAGAGGUAGGCGGAAUUCCGAGUGGAGCGGUGAAAUGCGUAGAUAUUCGGAGGAACACCAGUGGCGAAGGCGGCCUACUGGGCUCUAACUGACGCUGAGGCUCGAAAGUGUGGGGAGCAAACA
rnacentral:rRNA from 1 species